rnacentral:rRNA from 1 species
UGGGGAAUUUUGGACAAUGGGCGAAAGCCUGAUCCAGCAAUGCCGCGUGUGUGAAGAAGGCCUUCGGGUUGUAAAGCACUUUUGUCCGGAAAGAAAUCCUUGGCUCUAAUACAGUCGGGGGAUGACGGUACCGGAAGAAUAAGCACCGGCUAACUACGUGCCAGCAGCCGCGGUAAUACGUAGGGUGCAAGCGUUAAUCGGAAUUACUGGGCGUAAAGCGUGCGCAGGCGGUUUGCUAAGACCGAUGUGAAAUCCCCGGGCUCAACCUGGGAACUGCAUUGGUGACUGGCAGGCUAGAGUAUGGCAGAGGGGGGUAGAAUUCCACGUGUAGCAGUGAAAUGCGUAGAGAUGUGGAGGAAUACCGAUGGCGAAGGCAGCCCCCUGGGCCAAUACUGACGCUCAUGCACGAAAAGCGUGGGGAGCAAAACAGGAUUAGAUACCCUGGUAGUCCACGCCCUAAAACGAUGUCAACUAGUUGUUGGGGAUUCAUUUCCUUAGUAACGUAGCUAACGCGUGAAGUUGACCGCCUGGGGGAGUACGGUCGCAAGAUUAAAACUCAAAGGAAUUGACGGGGUCAUAGCUG